rnacentral:rRNA from 1 species
UACGUAGGGUGCAAGCGUUGUCCGGAAUUAUUGGGCGUAAAGAGCUCGUAGGCGGCUUGUCGCGUCGGCUGUGAAAACCUGGGGCUCAACCCCGGGCCUGCAGCCGAUACGGGCAAGCUAGAAUUCGGUAGGGGAGACUGGAAUUCCUGGUGUAGCGGUGAAAUGCGCAGAUAUCAGGAGGAACACCGGUGGCGAAGGCGGGUCUCUGGGCCGAUAUUGACGCUGAGGAGCGAAGGCGUGGGGAGCGAACAGG